AGAGUUUGAUCAUGGCUCAGAACGAACGCUGGCGGCGUGGAUAAGACAUGCAAGUCGGACGAGAUUUUCCGUUGUAGCAAUACGAUGGAAAGUCUAGUGGCGAACGGGUGCUUAACACGUGGGCAACCUGCCAAGAAGUGGGGGAUAGCUCGCCGAAAGGCGAAUUAAUACCGCAUGUGAUCAGAGAGGACAUCCUUUCGAAAUUAAAGUCGGGGCAACCUGACGCUUUUUGUGGGGCCCGCGGCCUAUCAGCUAGUUGGUGAGGUAACGGCCCACCAAGGCUUUGACGGGUAGCUGGUCUGAGAGGACGACCAGCCACACUGGGACUGAGACACGGCCCAGACACCUACGGGUGGCAGCAGUCGAGAAUUUUUGACAAUGGGGGAAACCCUGAUCGAGCGACGCCGCGUGGAGGAUGAAGGUCUUCGGAUUGUAAACUCCUGUCAUUGGGGAACAAUGCGUGACGGUUAACUGCCGUUGCGUUGAUAGUACCCGAAGAGGAAGAGACGGCUAACUCUGUGCCAGCAGCCGCGGUAAUACAGAGGUCUCAAGCGUUGUUCGGAUUCAUUGGGCGUAAAGGGUCCGUAGGCGGCGCGGUAAGUCGGGUGUGAAAUCUCGGAGCUUAACUCCGAAACUGCAUUCGAUACUGCCGUGCUUGAGGACUGGAGAGGAGACUGGAAUUUACGGUGUAGCGGUGAAAUGCGUAGAUAUCGUAAGGAAGACCAGUGGCGAAGGCGGGUCUCUGGACAGUUCCUGACGCUGAGGCACGAAGGCCAGGGGAGCAAACGGGAUUAGAUACCCUAGUAGUCC
rnacentral:rRNA from 1 species